rnacentral:snoRNA from 1 species
GAGUAGUGAGGAAAAUAUCAUGUGUGAUGUUGGGUUUUAUCAUCUCCAUCUGAGAUGGAUGAAAUCUAUGAUCAGCUGAGCUC